AGUGAACGCUGGCGGUAGGCCUAACACAUGCAAGUCGAACGGCAGCACAGUAAGAGCUUGCUCUUACGGGUGGCGAGUGGCGGACGGGUGAGGAAUACAUCGGAAUCUACUUUUUCGGGGGGGAUAACGUAGGGAAACUUACGCUAAUACCGCAUACGACCUACGGGUGAAAGCAGUGGAUCUUCGGACCUUUCGCGAUUGAAUGAGCCGAUGUCGGAUUAGCUAGUUGGCGGGGUAAAGGCCCACCAAGGCGACGAUCCGUAGCUGGUCUGAGAGGAUGAUCAGCCACACUGGAACUGAGACACGGUCCAGACUACUACGGGAGGCAGCAGUGGGGAAUAUUGGGCAAUGGGCGGAAGCCUGAUCCAGCCAUACCGCGUGGGUGAAGAAGGCCUUCGGGUUGUAAAGCCCUUUUGUUGGGAAAGAAAAGCAGCAGGUUAAUACCCCGCUGUUCUGACGGUACCCAAUGAAUAAGCACCGGCUAACUUCGUG
rnacentral:rRNA from 1 species